rnacentral:rRNA from 1 species
CGCGGCCUAUCAGCUUGUUGGUGGGGUGAUGGCCUACCAAGGCGACGACGGGUAGCCGGCCUGAGAGGGUGUCCGGCCACACUGGGACUGAGAUACGGCCCAGACUCCUACGGGAGGCAGCAGUGGGGAAUAUUGCACAAUGGGCGCAAGCCUGAUGCAGCGACGCCGCGUGAGGGAUGACGGCCUUCGGGUUGUAAACCUCUUUCACUAGGGACGAAGCGUGAGUGACGGUACCUAGAGAAGAAGCACCGGCCAACUACGUGCCAGCAGCCGCGGUAAUACGUAGGGUGCGAGCGUUGUCCGGAAUUACUGGGCGUAAAGAGCUCGUAGGUGGUUUGUCACGUUGUUCGUGAAAACUCACAACUCAAUUGUGGGCGUGCGGGCGAUACGGGCAGACUGGAGUACUGCAGGGGAGACUGGAAUUCCUGGUGUAGCGGUGGAAUGCGCAGAUAUCAGGAGGAACACCGGUGGCGAAGGCGGGUCUCUGGGCAGUAACUGACGCUGAGGAGCGAAAGCGUGGGGAGCGAACAGGAUUAGAUACCCUGGUAGUCCACGCCGUAAACGGUGGGUACUAGGUGUGGGUUUCCUUCCUUGGGAUCCGUGCCGUAGCUAACGCAUUAAGUACCCCGCCUGGGGAGUACGG